rnacentral:rRNA from 1 species
UUAAGUUAACAAGGGCGCAUGGUGAAUGCCUUGGCACUAGGAGCCGAUGAAGGACGGGACUAACACCGAUAUGCUUCGGGGAGCUGUACGUAAGCUAUGAUCCGGAGAUUUCCGAAUGGGGCAACCCAGCAGUUUUAAUCAACUGUUACCACUAGAUGAAUUCAUAGUCUAGUUGGAGGUAAACGCUGUGAACUGAAACAUCUCAUUAGCAGCAGGAAUAUAAAGAAAUUUCGAUUCCCUAAGUAGCGGCGAGCGAACGGGGAACAGCCCAAACCAAAGUGCUUGCACUUUGGGGUUGUAGGACUGAACAUUUGAGUUACCAAAGAACUUGAUAGUCGAAGGAUUUGGGAAAAUCCGCCAUAGAUGGUGAUAGCCCAGUAGAUUAAAUCAAAUUCUCUCAGUUCAGGAUCCUGAGUACGGCGGAACACGUGAAAUUCCGUCGGAAUCCGGGAGGACCAUCUCCCAAGGCUAAAUACUACCUAGUGACCGAUAGUGAACCAGUACCGUGAGGGAAAGGUGAAAAGCACCCCGGAGGGGAGUGAAAUAGUUCCUGAAACCAUGUGCCUACAAUAAGUCAGAGCGCGUUAAUGCGUGAUGGCGUGCCUUUUGUAGAAUGAACCGGCGAGUUAUGAUCCCGUGCAAGGUUAAGACUAAAAAGUCGGAGCCGUAGCGAAAGCGAGUCUGAAAUGGGCGAUUUGAGUACGAGGUUAUAGACCCGAAACCAGGUGACCUAUCCAUGUCCAGGUUGAAGGUGCGGUAAAACGCACUGGAGGACCGAACCCGUGUAAGUUGAAAAUUGCUGGGAUGAGGUGUGGAUAGCGGUGAAAUUCCAAACGAACUUGGAGAUAGCUGGUUCUCUCCGAAAUAGCUUUAGGGCUAGCCUCGGAUUAAGGAUCAUGGAGGUAGAGCACUAUUUGGACUAGGGGCCCGUCUUGGGUUACUGAAUUCAGAUAAACUCCGAAUGCCAUUGAUUCAUGUCCGGGAGUCAGACGAUGAGUGAUAAGAUCCACCGUCGAAAGGGGAACAGCCCAGACCAUCAGUUAAGGUCCCUAAAUGUAUGCUAAGUGGAAAAGGAUGUGGAGUUGCAUAGACAACUAGGAUGUUGGCUCAGAAGCAGCCACCAUUUAAAGAGUGCGUAAUAGCUCACUAGUCGAGUGAUCCUGCGCCGAAAAUGUACCGGGGCUAAGCAUACUACCGAAACCAUGGAUGCGACCAUUAGGUCGCGUGAUAGGAGAGCGUUCUAAGGGCGGUGAAGCAAGAUCGUGAGGACUUGUGGAGCGCUUAGAAGUGAGAAUGCCGGUAUGAGUAGCGAAAGAUAGGUGAGAAUCCUAUCCACCGAAUGACUAAGGUUUCCUGGGGAAGGCUCGUCCUCCCAGGGUUAGUCGGGACCUAAGUCGAGGCCGAGAGGCGUAGACGAUGGAUAACAGGUUGAGAUUCCUGUACUAGUUAAGUGCGUUUGAGCAAUGGAGGGACGCAGGAGGCUAAGAUGUGCAUUCUGUUGGAUUAGAAUGUCCAAGCAGUAAGUCUUGUGGAGAGUCAAAUGCUUUUCACUUUAAGGACAAGCUGUGAUGGGGAGCGAAAUUUAGUAGCGAAGCGUCUGAUGUCACACUGCCGAGAAAAGCUUCUAGUGAGUACUUAACUACCCGUACCGCAAACCGACACAGGUAGUCGAGGAGAGAAUCCUAAGGUGAGCGAGUGAACUCUCGUUAAGGAACUCGGCAAAAUGACCCCGUAACUUCGGGAGAAGGGGUGCUGAUCGCAAGAUCAGCCGCAGUGAAUAGGCCCAGGCGACUGUUUAUCAAAAACACAGGUCUCUGCAAAAUCGUAAGAUGACGUAUAGGGGCUGACGCCUGCCCGGUGCUGGAAGGUUAAAAGGAUGGGUUAGCUUCGGCGAAGCUCAGAAUUGAAGCCCCAGUAAACGGCGGCCGUAACUAUAACGGUCCUAAGGUAGCGAAAUUCCUUGUCGGGUAAGUUCCGACCCGCACGAAAGGCGUAACGAUCUGGGCACUGUCUCAACGAGAGACUCGGUGAAAUUAUAUUGUCCGUGAAGAUGCGGACUACCCGCGACAGGACGGAAAGACCCCAUGGAGCUUUACUGUAGCUUGAUAUUGAGUGUUUGUACAGCUUGUACAGGAUAGGUAGGAGCCAUAGAAACCGGAACGCUAGUUUCGGUGGAGGCGUUGGUGGGAUACUACCCUCGCUGUAUGACCACUCUAACCCGCACCACUAAUCGUGGUGGGAGACAGUGUCAGGUGGGCAGUUUGACUGGGGCGGUCGCCUCCUAAAAAGUAACGGAGGCGCCCAAAGGUUCCCUCAGAAUGGUUGGAAAUCAUUCGCAGAGUGUAAAGGCACAAGGGAGCUUGACUGCGAGACAGACAGGUCGAGCAGGGACGAAAGUCGGGCUUAGUGAUCCGGUGGUACCGUAUGGAAGGGCCAUCGCUCAACGGAUAAAAGCUACCCUGGGGAUAACAGGCUUAUCUCCCCCAAGAGUCCACAUCGACGGGGAGGUUUGGCACCUCGAUGUCGGCUCAUCGCAUCCUGGGGCUGUAGUCGGUCCCAAGGGUUGGGCUGUUCGCCCAUUAAAGCGGUACGCGAGCUGGGUUCAGAACGUCGUGAGACAGUUCGGUCCCUAUCCGUCGCGGGCGUAGGAAAUUUGAGAGGACCUGUCCUUAGUACGAGAGGACCGGGAUGGACAUACCUCUGGUGUACCAGUUGUGCCGCCAGGCGCAUCGCUGGGUAGCUACGUAUGGAUGUGAUAAACGCUGAAAGCAUCUAAGUGUGAAACACACCUCGAGAUGAGAUUUCCCAUUCCUUUAUGGAAGUAAGACCCCUGAAAGAUGAUCAGGUAGAUAGGUUAGAAGUGGCAGUGCGGUGACGCAUGAAGCGGACUAAUACUAAUCGGUCGAGGACUUAACCAA